rnacentral:rRNA from 1 species
AUUGAACGCUGGCGGCAGGCCUAACACAUGCAAGUCGAACGAGUGGCGGACGGGUAAGGAAUGUCUGGGUAACCGCCCGAUGGAGGGGGAUAACCACUGACAACUGUCGCAACUACCGCAUACCAUCAGAUGUGCCCAGAUGGGAUUAGCUUGUUGGUGGGGUAACGGCUCACCAAGGCGACGAUCCCUAGCUGGUCUGAGAGGAUGACCAGCCACACUGGAACUUGGAAACGGUCCAGACGCCUACGGGCGGCAGCAGUGGGGAUCAUUGGAAGAUGGACGUGAGCCUGAGAGACCCAUGCCGCGUAUAUGGAGAAGGAGUCCGGGUUGUGAUGUACCUUAAUCGGCGGAGCGUUACCGGCCGAAGAAGCACCGGCUAACGACGAGCCAGCAGCCGCGGUAAUUC